rnacentral:rRNA from 1 species
GAUGAACGCUGGCGGCGUGCCUAAUACAAGCAAGUCGAGCGAACAGACGAGGAGCUUGCUCCUCUGACGUUAGCGGCGGACGGGUGAGUAACACGUGGAUAACCUACCUAUAAGACUGGGAUAACUUCGGGAAACCGGAGCUAAUACCGGAUAAUAUAUUGAACCGCAUGGUUCAAUAGUGAAAGACGGUUUUGCUGUCACUUAUAGAUGGAUCCGCGCCGCAUUAGCUAGUUGGUAAGGUAACGGCUUACCAAGGCAACGAUGCGUAGCCGAUCUGAGAGGGUGAUCGGCCACACUGGAACUGAGACACGGUCCAGACUCCUACGGGAGGCAGCAGUAGGGAAUCUUCCGCAAUGGGCGAAAGCCUGACGGAGCAACGCCGCGUGAGUGAUGAAGGUCUUCGGAUCGUAAAACUCUGUUAUUAGGGAAGAACAAAUGUGUAAGUAACUAUGCACGUCUUGACGGUACCUAAUCAGAAAGCCACGGCUAACUACGUG